rnacentral:pre_miRNA from 1 species
AACUCAUUUGUUUUUAUUAUGUUCUUGGCGUCAGAGCCAAAUGAUUUUUUGUUUACAAUAAUUUGAGCCUAUCGCCAAGCUAUUUUAAGCAAUGAC